GCGCGCAGUGACAGUCAAAAGAGGUCUGCGCUGAAAGUUGACAAGUCAAAACUCCUCUUGUUUUGGUGCGUUUCGUCGUGGUCGUCACGGUUCGCGGUUGUUUAUAAGCAUCUUCACUAUUUUCGCGUUCGUGUUUUGUUUUCAAAAGUGAGUGUAAAAGAACUGCCUUCCAUCCUCACAGCAAGUAUUGGCUGCGUUUGUUUACAUCCGUGAGCAGCUAGAAAAAAAAAGUUCCAUCCUUCCGUCCAGCGGGAUCGAAGUCGCCGAGGAGGAAAAACAAUACAAAGGUGACAAUUGAGUGGUUUUCCGGAUCGUUUGUUUACAGAAGUGUUUGCUUCUAGAGUGCUACGUGAAAAUCCACCAGAUUUCGACGAAAAGUACCUUUUCAGAUUUGUGAUUCCGACCCCGGCUGCCACCAACAAGGACGCGUUUUUAGCGACAGAUUCUCUCGGUGAAUCCCGAAUUGUGUGGACCUGUUCUUGUGCAUUCUAGUCGACAUUGUCGAGGAUGGUCGUGGGCAAAGUUCGUCGCGGCCAUUUAGAUAGGUAUAUUUAGCUUAUCUUCCCUCCUCCUCUUCGUCCUCCUCUUGAGUAAAAAGUCUUUUCGAGCGGCCAAGCAGCAGUUGAUAUUCUGUUGACGGAGCUGGCAAUAGAACCAAUGCAGCCCGAGAGUUUUCGGCCUAAAUGGAAACAUCACAAAGAAUGUACUGGUUUGUACCUGAAGCAUGCUUUGAUCUUAAAAUGAAUUUCGUCAAGUGCGACAGGUCAUCAGGGUGCGACACGCUCUCAUCAACCAGCGGUGCCACUUUUAUCUAAACUCGAAGCUUCCAAACUACGAAUAACCGGCGUGAUAUAGCUGCGCCGUUUCCUAUCGCAAGCGAUUUCAAGUCAAGCAGAGUACCUAAUUGACGACGUCCACAGGAUGGCGAAGAUGGAGCUGGCAUCGAAAAUGCUACAGUUGUGCUGGAUGGGGCGUACGACUUUGAUCAACAUCCUGCUGUAGCGAAAGUUUCCUUCAGAUUUGUUUAACUUAGAAUUAGAAAUGUC